GGAGUGGGGCAGCCAAGAGCCCUCUGACAGUAGCCCCCUAGAGAGCAAGACAACCCAUCACACUCCUCAGCCUCCUUUUUUCCUGAUUCCCCAGUUAUGAAACAGCUCUGGAUACAAACAAUCUCAGGAAUUUUCCAUGCAUUUGUACAGUCUCCUUGACUGGAUUAGAUUUCCUGUGGGCAAGGACCAUUCAUUCUAUUUUCAGCGAGGCUGCCUAACAUGAUGAGGCAAAUUCUGAAAUGAGGGAAGGAAGCCUGAGAUUUGAGCCCCAGCCCUGCCACUUACUACCUGUAAGCCCAGUGAACUUGACCUGGGAGGAGAGGAGCAACCCCAAGGCAAAUGCAGAUGUCUCUGAAGAGUGAAAAUGAGGAAACAUGUCCAGGGGGUUUUAUUUAUCCCCAUCCCUCCUAAAGGCCCGGGUGGUGUGGGACCCCCUCCGGAGAGGUGUAUGCACCUCCCUAGAGCUUACCCAGCCGGGUGCCUGUUCCUUGAUGAGAAUCCACAUGGUGUUGACCUCAGGCUUCUUCAUGGUUCACUCUGUGGCUGGUGGCAUUGGAUCUGCAUCAAGGUGGUCUCGAGGAUGGUCUUCUGAAGGAACUUAGGUGUCUUGGGUCCUGGAAGAUGGGUGACACACGGAUCUAUUUUUUUCCUAUGGUUAUAGACCCUUUCAGCACAACCUUUGUGGCCUUCAGAGCUUUUGUCUUGGUUUCAGUUUUGGGAAGGGCUGGGGCUUCCUUCUUGCUUUCAGCACCAUAUUUGCAGAAGGGAGUGUCUAUCUGACGGCCUGGUGUAGCAGUGCCAUCAGGAGCUGGUCUUCAGUGGAGAAAAUGUACUGCCAAGGCUGAAGAGACUUCCAUGGAAACAGGAGCAGAAGGGAGAAGGCUUCACGAUACUGUUUCAGACCCUGUUUCCCUGGCCCAGCCCACACCUAAGGCGAUGGAAAGGAGUCUGCAGCAGAAACAGAAGUUGCUGUUUUCCAGGAAGCUCCGUGAGGAGGAGGCAAAAGCAUCCUCAAAGGCAUCACUUCAUAGCAGUGGCCAGCAAGGCCUCGUGCUCCACUGGCUUCGGUUGGUUGACAAUGGAGGGUGGUGUGGGACAGCAUGAGAAGGCACUGCACAAGCUCCUGUGAGACUUCGCAGGGGCCUCCAGAAUAAACUGACGAAAGACUUUGUGAAAAAAAAGGGUCUGGGGAGGCUGCAAGUGCAGGCGGAGCCCCAGCCAGUGAAUCCCAGAUGACUGCAGGGAAUGCGGCUACACUGGUGCCACCAGCUUACGAAACUUGGGCUUGGAGAAUUAAGUAAGUUGCUCAGUGCCCCACCGAAAGUAAGAUCAAGCUGAGAUCACACCCCCUGGAACGUGUGUGCCGAUAGCACCUGUUGACUUCUGGCUCUGGCUGCAGCUGGACGCAGUGAUCAAAUCCAGUGGAAGCCUGUUUGGUCUGGUGUUUUCACUGCUUGUCCAUUGACUGUUCUACAUCCAACACAUCACCUGUGCAGUAGGUAAUAGGAUUUGAUGGUUAAGGUGACUUCAGCUCUGUCAAGCCACAGGCCAUUCGCCCCAUCCCAGAGCACAUGCUGCACAUCAUGGUCCUCAGUGUUGGAACGUGAAUGGGGUGGCCAGGGCUGCUGGAGGCCUGCUCCUCUCCAAGCCUGCAGAGCUCCUCUUGAGGCCUUGGCAACUCUACCUCCAGGCCCUGAUGGGCAGAUCUUGGCACUUUUCCUGGGAAGGUAGGAGCAAGAGAUCAGGGUGGUAAAACCAGCUCAUGAGAAAGGGAACAUAGUCUGCAGUGUCCCAGCUGAGAACCUUCUAACCUGUCCUUUCUGAUAAAUUUAGCUCUAUUCAUCAGUAAAGACCUGAGUCCUCUUUCUUCUGGAAAACUAAUUUCUUUCUUUCUCAACCUACCAGUACACUUGUGUGCUCUACACACUACAAUGGAACUACAAUGACCUUUAGAGCACACAGUCCAACCUCCUGGCUAAUUCUGGAAUUCCUUCUCCAUCUUCCCCACCAUAUUCAUCCUCUGCUUGGUUCCCUAACCUUCAAAGAAGCCCAUUCCUUGAUGAGAUAGCUCUAAGCAUUUGAAAAGCUUUCCUCUUUUUGAGCAAAAAUAUGCAUCUGGACUUUGUUCAUGAGAAGUCUUCAGAUCUUUAAAGAGAACCAUGAGGGCUCCUUGGGGUCUCCCCCUCUCCAAACAAAACCAGAGGAACCUCAAGUAACAUGGUCCCUAGACCUUUCACCGUCCCUAGAAUGGCUUCUUCAUGUCCCUGUAAGUGGUUCCCAGACCUUAAUAUAAACCACAGUUGACUGGGGCGCUUGGUAAAAAUACUGAUUUCAGGGGCCUCAUCCUGGAGGGAGGUGGGGAACGUGUGUGCUUUUUCAGCAAGUGGAGAAAGCAAACUCCAAACACUGUGUUUCUUAGAUGCUGUGCCUUCAGAAGACAGUACCAAAUGGGGCUGUUUGCAGUUGUAUUAGGGAAUGUAUGUUCAAAAGGUUUAAACAACAUCAUUUUAGCAGUAAGUCAUAGAACACUAGGAUGGUCUCCAUUAUCCUUGAAAAAAUGACCAAGGCUCAUUAAAUUCAAAUUUAAGCUAGAAAACAUACAAAUUAACCAACCAUGGUUUUAAAACACUUCUCUUGCUAACAUGUUACAUCUGCUAGGCUGGAGGCUUGGUAUUACCAGAUGAGGCAUGUGCAGAAUCACAGCGAUCUGCCCCACAGCUCAGGCUGAGAUCUAAAUGAAGACCCCUGCAAAGCUACCCAAAGGUCAGGUAGCAUGGCAGGAGACAUCCUGGCCUUCUGGGGAGAAGCAGGUGGCAGGGGGAUUUGGGAGCCCCACCUGGGGCUGCCUGCAUUUAUGUACGGUGUCACAAUUAACCCUCAGAGCAGCACUGAGAGAGUUAUUAUUCCCAUUCUAUAAGGGAGGAAACUGGGGCUCAGUAAGAUUAAGACACUUGAUUACAGAAGGUCUUGCAGUAAACGUUCCAAACACAUGCUCCUUUCCUUCCACCACAAUGCAUUGUUAUUCAUUCUCUUUUUGUUUUAGGUAUGAAAAUCCUAGGUCUCCAGGAAAUUGUGUGAUAAUGAGGCUUAGACCAUGCGUCUGACCCCUCCCACCUCACCCUGUGGGGUACCCACAGGCAGGGUGGGCCAUCCAGUGGCACUCAGGAAAGUGUGCUGAAGUGAAUUGCAUUAGUUCCUAGCACUGUGUGAUUCACCAGGGUGUGUGGAAAGAGAAAGUGAGGAUGAUGCUUUAUGACUCCUCUUGCUGUUUCUGGCUACAAAUACCUGCCCCCUGCCCAGCUGCCCCUGCCUAUUCCUCCCGGCUGUUCAGGGAAGGGUCUCUAAAGAAAGGUACUAGAUAUUGUACCAGCAUUAUUAUAAUUGUUAUUAAAAGCCACUGGUUUUACUGGGGCCCUAUUUUUACUCAGAAAGAGUCUCUCAACCUAGCCCUGGCUUUCGACCUUCAACUCCUUCAUAUCCCAGUGCCCUUUGCUUGUGGAAAUGAGUCAGAUGGUUGAGCUUUUGCACAGGAUUAUGAUCAAACUUUAUGUUAGGAAGCAGGUUUAGCAGUCAGCUCUAUUUUACUUUGUGUGGAGUUUCUUAUCUUGUCUGUGUCCUCAAGUGUCACCACUGUGACCACUCUAGUCGUGCGUUUGCUAUGAUGUGGAGAAGAAAACGGAUGAUAGGAGAGAGUCCAGUGGUUUUGCAUCUGCCUCAGCAGAGCUAGGGCUAGAACCUGCCAUACAACUGUCACCAUGGUCCCAGUGGAGCAACACAGGGCUCAGUAGGGGUGAGCCCAACUUCAGGAAGUUAAGUCUUGCAAUUGAAGGAGGAUGGGCAGGGGUCAGGGGCUCUGAAAACCUAACAGUCUAGAGCAGUGACUCCCAGACCUUAGCAUAAAUCACAGUCGACUGGGGUGCUUGGUAAAAGUACUGAUUUUAGGGGCCUCAUCAUAGAAAUCCUGCCAAUGACAAGAACAUAUGCUGUGUGCUGCUUGCUACACCAAGGAUGAUGCUAAGAGCACCACAAGUACCAACUCACUUGGUCUUCACAACCACCCCCAUUGUUACUCAGCAAGCACUCCUCUUUCCAUCAUUCAUGUGAAGAUACUUGAGGAUACGGAGAGAUACGGCAUGUGAGGAGGCAGAGCCAGGACCCGAAAAGUCCCUGUUCUUCCCUCUCUUCCUGGGCUGGAGGUUUGCGAAGGGCCUGGGAAGCUGCAUCUUCUAAGCUAGUACAGGCAGUCUGGAGAGUCUGGAGAGUCUGUGUGCUGAGGCUGGGGAUGCUCAUCACAGCCCACUUGUCCUGACAUACCAGAGAGGUGUCCGUUUAGUGAUUUAAUCUCCUCUGUACAAUGCCCCAGGGGCCCCAGUCUCCUUGGGAUCCUAAUCUUCUCAGUGACACAGUAGAGGCUGUAGAGAAAAGCAAAUUCACAAGGGUCACGCUGGGUUAGUCUGACGGGCAUCGCUCACACUCGGCACUGUGGGAAGACCACCAUCGUCUUUGUCUGCAUUGGCAAACUUCGGGUAAGCCACGGAGUGCUGAAUUCUACUGGACACUGAGGACACAGAAAGGAUGAGACUGCGUCUUUGCAUUUAUGUGGGGGCAUCAGGGGAUGCUCAGUAAUGAAACCCACUCAAGUGUUUUGUCUCAGGCAGCAGAAACUCUCGGCCUGGCCUGUGAAGUCUAUUCUUUGUCUUUUAACCUCUGUGGUCUCAGCCUCCGACUCCUUGAUUCAUGCCUUGUAUGUUAGUCCGGGUUUUCUCAAAUGUUAGUCUUUUGGAUAUCAUCUUAAAGAGACUUUCUAUGAUAUGAGUACCACCUGCACAAUUAUUAACUGAAUAUGUUUAAAACUGACUUAUGCUUUUUGACUUAAAAUUAAUUAUUUUAAAAGGAAA